GCCUCCGCCUUUGGGGCUAUAAAAGCAUUAAUGACUAAACUCCAUCUGCAGCUCAAGGAAACUUCUCUGAUGAAUUUAUUGGUGGUGGUGGGGAACCUUUGGGAAACCUUCUGGCUCUGAAGGGCUUCUGAGAUGGACUUUUGAAAGGGUUUGAGGAAAUCGUAAAGCUGGCUGUACUGACCUGCAGGCGAUGGCGUGGUGGUGUCUGGAAGGUGGAUACUGCUGCUUCCUGACAGCUGUCAAGGCAAGAAGAGGAACUUGAAGCAAUGGGAAGGGCUGCACUUCCCCACUGGGGAAGCUGGGCAGGGAAUUGGAUGGGGACAGCUGCUUCUGUUCUGCGAUUUCAGGUGGUGGCUUUAAAGUUUAAAGGGCCCAUGGCUGCUGCUCUGGGCUAGGAAGGGAAGCUCACCACUCCUCUGUUGGGCUGCAGGGGUAGACUCACUCCAGUUCUCUGAACCACUGCAAGCACUGCACAGCCAGCCACUGCUCAAACAGGAGAGGACCAGGAAGCCUUCCCCACUGGGCUAGAGCAAUGAGAUGAGCCUCCCACAGUCCCGAGCCCUACACCAGAUCCUACAUGUUUUUGUGGCUGUCUGUGGUGACCUGGGAUGAAGCUGGGACCAGAUGAAAAGCAGAGGAAAUACACUCGGAUCCAAGUGCCCCUGGCCCUCAUGACCCGACCCCUGGAGAAGCAUCUGAGUUACCCGACAUCCUGGUCAGCAGGAGCUGGGCCGGAGACUGGAUGCUGCAGCUUCAGAGACUCAGCACCUAGGAAGGCUCCUGUGCAGGGAAAAAGGCAGAGAUGCGACAUUUUUAAAGUUUCACAAAACACGAGGCAGCACCCAGGUCCCUGGAUCAGGAGACACACAGAAUUAAUGUUUUAUACCUUCGGGUAUAGGUUUGAGUUUUCCCCCCCUCAUGCCAAGUAUUUAAAACCUCUAGAAACCCAUGAUUUGACAAUCAAUGAUUGCGCGAUACUUUCAAUUUGAAUAUUCAAAGGCUUAACAAAAUGGACUAUCUUCUGCAGAAAUCCUGCACACAGGCACCCCACAGAGAGUCCAGAGAAACAGAGAGUGAGGUCCCUUUGGGUCCUGACCCUUGCUUUUCUUCUAUUUUAAACAUUUUGUCCACCUGCUCACAGACAGAGCAGGUGUCCUCAAAGAUGCUCUAUGUCAGUGCCUCAAAGGCUGCUCAGAAGCCCCCACUGACCUGGGCUGUGCCCGGUGGACCACCUGAGCCAGGUUGGACAGCCACACUGAAUCUCACUUGUCCAGUUUCCAGUUUAAGGGGGAAACCUCAAGUUUUGGAGAGUGAACAUGGCAGACAGAGGGUGUGGCACAGCAAAGAGUCACUUUGGGCCCAGGCUGCAGGCCAGAGGACAUCGGAGGCUGAAGCUUGCCACUUUGUAUUCCUCUGGCCCUGCCUGGCCACAAGGUUUCCCUGUCUGCAUCCUCCCUCAUGCUAGGCCACAGACACUGAGGAUCCAGCAAGCAGUCCUUGUACAUCAGCGCUCAUUUUGCUCUUCGGAGCUCUGGACCAUCAUAGCUGUCCUGAGAUGUCCAUGCCUAGACCAUCUAAGCUUCCUUUAGGCCAGGAUUCCACUGCUGCAUUGAGGCAAGCUCUAUUCCAAUGUUUUGGCUUGUUUUUGAUUCCUCGAACCCCAGCCUUUUUACCUCAUAGAACUCCUGCUUCUUUUAGAGGAAGGGUGUGGGUUUUUAAAAUUUUAUUACUAUUACCAUUAUUAUUAUUAUUAUUAUUAUUAUUAUUAUUAUUAUUGGAAGGCUCUGAAGAGAGAGGGAGGAAGAAUUUGGAGUCAAGCUGUCUUCUUGGACGCCUCACAGAUAACGUAGGCCCGUGCUGAUGUGUAUUUCUGAAGCUCUGCCUGAGUCGCUCUUUGUCCUGUGAUUUGAAGGAUGAAGAGACUGGAGUGAUAUUUCCAUAUCAGGAAAUAUUUCAUGUCAGGUCAAGAUGUCACAGGGAGACAAAAGGGUCCCCUUUGCAAAUAACUAGGAUAUUUCCAAGAAUGCAGGUAAAGUGAUGGUAUAGACCUCUAUUCUUUAAUCCCCGAGUUGUCUGAAGUGCAAACAAAACAAAACAAAACAAAAAACCAACCAACCAAACAAAAGCCCAUAAAAGCAAGCUUUAGAUUCAAAAGCCUUUAGAAAAAUAUCUGAAAAAUUAAAAUAUAUCGGAUAUAGUAUAUUAGAUAUAGAGUAUAUAACAAACAGCUCAGCUAAAGGUUCUCUGGGGAUGAUAAAUGCAUGCUGGGGUAGACCUGUCUGCCAGGCAGGUGGGAGCCACAUAUCUGGGAAAGAGUCAGGGCUGGGGACUCUUGAGGUAGCAUCUGGUGGUGGAGAGUAGGGGGAGAUGUUGUUGUACUUGGUCCAGCUGGUGUUUAUCAGCCACUGGAACCUAUUUCUGCAAAGAUAGGCCUGAGGACCAGACCAGAGAAAGGACCACAGGAUCUGAGAGAAACCAUCUCCCUGGCACUACAUCCUCCCUUCCUCUAGUCAAUGUUUUUCUUUUCUCAUUCUUUUACACUAAAUAUUUUUCUUCAGCUCUCCUUUCACAUAGAAAUGAGCAUAGGUGGCCUGAGCUCCUAGUUUUCCCUUGAUAUAUCAAGGACAUUGAAGCUGAUUGGGUUCUCCAGAGAGAACACAGACUGGAAGACAUAGGCUCUUUAGAAGCCUGGUGACUACAGAGGUAACAAUGAGCAAAGAAAUCUGUAUUCCUUUCUCCCAGAAGUCUUUGCCUGAGCCAUGGUUAACAUCCUGGGGGCAUUUAUGUGCUAGUGCAGUUCCUGAGGUUCAGAGUCUGAUCAUGUUGCUGACAAAUAACUUCAGAAAACUAUUUCCACAGGCCCAUUUUGAGAAUCUUCCCUGUGCUAUCUAUACUUCAGGUCAGCUCAACAUUCAGGAGGUGAACGUUUGGAUUCUUAUUCUUGUAACGGAAAAACCUACGUACAGACAUUUCAGAGCCAAAGCUAUGCUUCAGGAGGAAGGAGACAAUACUUUCUCAGUAGAUCCCCUUUGUAUCUCUCUCUCUGUCUCUGUGAGAUGUGUGUGUGUGUGUUCGCGUAUGUGUCUGUGUGGUGAUGAUAUCUAGAGCAGCCAGCCAUUUUUGCUUUGAAACUCCAAAUGCCUAUAAAACUCAGUACCCUUCUUGAUUGCUUGCUCACUUGCUCAUUUAUCCAUCCACCCACCCACCCACCCAUCCAUCCAUGCAUCCAUCCAUCCACCCACCCAUCCACGCAUCUAUCCAUCCACCCAUCCACCCAUCCACCCAUCCACCCAUCCACCCAUCCACCCAUCCAUCCAUCCAUCCACCCAUCCACCCAUCCAUCCAUCCAUCCAUCCAUCCAUCCAUCCAUCCAUCCACCCACUCACCCAUCCAUGCAUCCACCCUUCCACCCAUCCACCCAUCCAUGCAUCCAUGCAUCCAUCCAUCCACCCAUCCACGCAUCCAUCCAUGCAUCCAUCCAUCCACCCAUCCAUGCAUCCAUCCAUCUAUCCAUCCAUCCAUCCAUCCAUCCAUCCAUCCAUCCAUCCAUGCAUCCAUCCAUCCAUUCACCCAUCCAUCUAUCCAUCCAUCCAUCCAUCCAUCCAUCCAUCCAUCCAUCCACCCAUCCAUGCAUUCACCCAUCCAUGCAUCCAUCCAUCUAUCCAUCCAUCCAUCCAUCCAUCCAUCCACCCAUCCAUGCAUUCACCCCCCCCCCACCCAUGCAUGCAUCCAUCUGUCUGUCUAUCUCGGUGUUGAGAUAGAACCCAGAGCAUGCUGGGUAAGCAGUCUACAACAGAGCUACAUCCCUAGCUCAGAAUCCACAUCCUGGGUGCCAGGCCAGUGUUGCAUAGUAACAGAACUGGUGUUCAGACUUUUGUAAAUAUCACCCAAAGCCCUUGCUGUGUUAUCAGUGUGUCCAAGGGACUGAAGACUGCAGCAUGCUGAUGACAGAAUAUUCCAGAAACAUGCAGUCCUGAAGAAGCAACUGGCUAAUAGUGAGGAUAAGCUGGUCAUUAUGCUGACUGUAGUUUGUGGUUGUCCAACCAGAACCCUCUUCCUGGUGGCUUAUUGCUUCUGGGAUGCCUCCCUGAAGGCCCAAUAAUCCCUCUGAGGUUGUAAAAAAAAUGGGGGUCUGGUCUUCUGUCACAGCCCCUUCAUUUAUAACAUUAUCUUAAUGCUGGAUGUGGGAGAGGCUAUUGAAAUGCUGAGAGGGAGUAGCAUCAUGACCAGUGGCUUUCUAGCUUGUAGUUCCAUUGCUGGCUCAUAGGAAAGUCUGUGUGGAGGAGAUGGGUCUCACUAUUUGUAAGGCGGAUUUUGCCUUUAAAUGAGUUAUAAUCCACUGAGAUGUUCAUUCCUUGAGCACCAGGUGGGUGCCAGGCACAGUAAUGAGUACCAGGGGUACAAAGAUAAUAAGCCUUGGUUUCUGCCAGCAAUGGCUCCAUUCUCCCAUGUGCUCACUACCAUUUUCCUAUUGUUGGUUCAUUUGCACAUUCAUUCAUUCACUCAUUCAUUUACUCAUCCAUCGAUUCAUUCAUUCACCAUUUAUUCAAUCACCAUAUGUUAAUUGCCCUGACUGAUCCAGUACUUCCUUUUCACCCAAGCCUUCUUUCCUUAAAGCCCCUGUCCAUAGUUUUCCCCAUCCUUCCUAAAUCAGCUUUUCAGAUCUUUGCUUUUCCAUGCCACAAACUCAGAAAUCCUUUUGUUUGUCACUGACCCUCCUAAAUUCAGCAGCACCCAGGGUGAGUGGAUGCGCAUUGUUAAUGAGUGAAGUUGAACGUUUUUAAUUGCAUGCAAAUGACACUGCACAGCCUUGUGUUCUGCCCUCCGAAACAGGUUUUAUUAAACGUAGACAUGUGCAUAUUAAAAGGCCUUCAGUGUAAAGAAAAGGUGUAGUUAUUCCUUCCAAAUUUGACUAUAGCCCUACAUUUUCUUUAGUAAUGCAAAGUUCUUUUGUCACCUCAGUGUUGGGACACUGUUACCAAGUGUUGUGGGAAAUAUCAAGUUCCAAAAUGUUGACGACAUAGAAGAAGCAAGUAUUUAUGGGUCCUUGGGAAGCACGUUUAUGGGUCCAUGUGUCAGUGACCAAGAAGACUAGGAGAUGGAGGUUGUGUAGUAAUGUACACAUAGUCAGUCUUUCCCCAUAGUCUGUAUUCAGAAUUUAGACUUUCCUUUAAGAAAAGGUUAUGAUGAGCCAACCUUUGAUCAUUUAUUAUUUAUAUAGGAAAAGUACCAUACCAUACUGCUUACAAACUUACUGUUUUACUUAUAACAUUUUUAUUGCACCAUACUUCUAACAAAAAAAAUGUAUCAAGAAUGUUGUCGUGCAAAGCUGUGAAUAUUUCACCAAAGUUGGGAAAUAAAAUGGCUGAGUGAUCA